rnacentral:snRNA from 1 species
UUAUUUAUGCGGCACAGGAAUAACCCAUGAUCAGCAAGGUGGUUCUCCCCCAGUGAGGCAUUUCCACUGCAUUCCUGUGGGUUGACCUUUGCGAUCGCUCUAAAUAUGAGCGACUCAGAUGCACCUUUUCUUUGUGAAGACGUGUGGCUUA